GACGAACGCUGGCGGCGUGCUUAACACAUGCCAGUCGAACGGAAAGGCCCUGCUUUUGUGGGGUGCUCGAGUGGCGAACGGGUGAGUAACACGUGAGUAACCUGCCCUUGACUUUGGGAUAACUUCAGGAAACUGGGGCUAAUACCGGAUAGGAGCUCCUGCUGCAUGGUGGGGGUUGGAAAGUUUCGGCGGUUGGGGAUGGACUCGCGGCUUAUCAGCUUGUUGGUGGGGUAGUGGCUUACCACGGCUUUGACGGGUAGCCGGCCUGAGAGGGUGACCGGCCACAUUGGGACUGAGAUACGGCCCAGACUCCUACGGGAGGCAGCAGUGGGGAAUAUUGCACAAUGGGCGGAAGCCUGAUGCAGCAACGCCGCGUGCGGGAUGACGGCCUUCGGGUUGUAAACCGCUUUCGCCUGUGACGAAGCGUGAGUGACGGUAAUGGGUAAAGAAGCACCGGCUAACUACGU
rnacentral:rRNA from 1 species